rnacentral:rRNA from 1 species
UGCAGUCGAGCGGACAGAUGGGAGCUUGCUCCCUGAAGUUAGCGGCGGACGGGUGAGUAACACGUGGGUAACCUGCCUGUAAGACUGGGAUAACUCCGGGAAACCGGGGCUAAUACCGGAUGGUUGUUUGAACCGCAUGGUUCAAACAUAAAAGGUGGCUUCGGCUACCACUUACAGAUGGACCCGCGGCGCAUUAGCUAGUUGGUGAGGUAACGGCUCACCAAGGCAACGAUGCGUAGCCGACCUGAGAGGGUGAUCGGCCACACUGGGACUGAGACACGGCCCAGACUCCUACGGGAGGCAGCAGUAGGGAAUCUUCCGCAAUGGACGAAAGUCUGACGGAGCAACGCC